rnacentral:lncRNA from 1 species
UAUACAACUGGCUCCCUCUUGCUAAUUGCAAGAUAGUAGCAUCAAGAGAGAAAUAUUAAAAGACAAGCAAUGCUGUGUUCCCACGGAAUUCUAGAAGAAUUCUUUUAAGCAGGUGUAUAACUUUUUCAACGCUUAAUUAUGUGGCGCAUUUCCCUUUCACGAAAUCAAUUCAGAGGAAACAAAGGAGAACCGGAACGAACAAAAAUUCUUUUGGUAAAACAAAUAAAAAGAAUACUUUGGCG